rnacentral:tRNA from 1 species
GCUCAGUUGGUAAAGCACAAGGCUUUUAACCUUGUGGACGUGGAUUCUAGCCCCAU